GACGGAGGGUGCAAGCGUUGUUCGGAAUUACUGGGCGUAAAGCGUACGUAGGCGGCGGAUUAAGUCGAAUGUUAAAGCCUGAGGCUCAACCUCAGAGAUGCAUUCGAUACUGGUUUGCUAGAGGGUGAUAGAGGAAAGUGGAAUUCCCAGUGUAGCGGUGAAAUGCGUAGAUAUUGGGAGGAACAUCAGUAGCGAAGGCGACUUUCUGGGUCACACCUGACGCUGAGGUACGAAAGCGUGGGGAGCAAACGGGAUUAGAAACCCGAGUAGU
rnacentral:rRNA from 1 species